rnacentral:rRNA from 1 species
GAGCUCUCCCAUAUGGUCGACCUGCAGGCGGCCGCGAAUUCACUAGUGAUUGUUUGAUCCUGGCUCAGAUUGAACGCUGGCGGCAGGCUUAACACAUGCAAGUCGAACGGUAACAGAGAAUAGCUUGCUAUUCUGCUGACGAGUGGCGGACGGGUGAGUAAUGCUUGGGAAUUUGCCGAAAGGUGGGGGACAACAGUUGGAAACGACUGCUAAUACCGCAUAAUGUCUACGGACCAAAGGUGGCCUCUAUUUAUAUGCUAUCGCCUUUCGAUGAGCCCAAGUGGGAUUAGCUAGUUGGUAAGGUAAUGGCUUACCAAGGCGACGAUCCCUAGCUGGUCUUAGAGGAUGACCAGCCACACUGGAACUGAGACACGGUCCAGACUCCUACGGGAGGCAGCAGUGGGGAAUAUUGCACAAUGGGGGAAACCCUGAUGCAGCCAUGCCGCGUGUGUGAAGAAGGCUUUCGGGUUGUAAAGCACUUUCAGCGAGGAGGAAAGGGUGAUGGCUAAUAUCCAUCAUCUGUGACGUUACUCGCAGAAGAAGCACCGGCUAACUCCGUGCCAGCAGCCGCGGUAAUACGGAGGGUGCAAGCGUUAAUCGGAAUUACUGGGCGUAAAGCGCGCGUAGGUGGUUAAUUAAGUCAGAUGUGAAAGCCCAGGGCUCAACCUUGGAACUGCAUUUGAAACUGGUUGACUAGAGUUUUGUAGAGGGUGGUAGAAUUUCAGGUGUAGCGGUGAAAUGCGUAGAGAUCUGAAGGAAUACCAGUGGCGAAGGCGGCCACCUGGACAAAGACUGACACUGAGGCGCGAAGGCGUGGGGAGCAAACGGGAUUAGAUACCCCGGUAGUCCACGCAGUAAACGAUGUCUAUUAGAAGUUUGUGGCUAUAUGCCGUGGGUUUCAAAGCUAACGCAUUAAAUAGACC